rnacentral:misc_RNA from 1 species
GCCAUCAACAACAUACAUUUUCACAUUAUUUCUGUUCUCUCACUUGAAAUCCAUAUGCAGAAACAGUGAAAUACUAUGCUAUACAGAAAGCAGCACAUUAGGAAGGUAAGUUUUGAAGUUUAACAGAUCCAGUUGUUGCCAGAAAGUUGAACAAUUACUGCAUAAAUACUGCUUGCACUUAUAUUGCAACUAUCUGUAUAACAAAUCUUAGUCUAUAAAAUUGGUCUUGCCCAUUACUUAUAAAAGGCAGUUGUUGCACCAGUGUGAUAGUUAUCUAGCAUGCACAGAAAGCCUGGGAGUUAGAAGCGUUUCAGUACGCUAUCAAUACACAACAAGUGAGGUGACUCAUAGUGGGUGGCAGCUGCUAGUGACAGAUAAGACUAAGCAUUUAAGUGUCCCACAGUGCGGGCUCCAGACACAGCAAAACGAACUCGCCGAGCCCAAUAUUUUCCAGGCAGCUGUGCUGACUUGAACAGCAGCGUCGUUGCAAAGGCAGCCAUGGGAGCAGGAAGUGGAGGCAACUGCUUGUGGUCCAUUUUCUGGCUCAUAGUGCUCAUUAUCCUAUCUGUUCCUGUGGCUGGGAUCUGUGCCUUCCUGUACAUCAUUGUGUCGAUCUUCACACCUUGCAUUGAACCACUCAAGUCCCUGGAAGACCUGCUCCACAAGGGAGUCAAUUUUCCUCACACAUGCUCCCAGAAUAUGGUGCAUGGAAGUUCAUUAUGACUAUGCUGUUUCAAGAUGAAGAUAUCUUUCAAAAAUGUUG